rnacentral:rRNA from 1 species
GUCUACAGCCAUGCUACCCUGAACAAGCCUGAUGUCUGAUCUCGGAAGCUAAGCAGGGUCAGGCCUGGUUAGUACUUGGAUGGGAGACCACCUAGGAAGACCAAGUGCUGUAGGCA